rnacentral:rRNA from 1 species
ACGAACGCUGGCGGCGUGCUUAACACAUGCAAGUCGAACGUGAUUUUUGUGGAAAUUCUUUCGGGAAUGGAAAUGAAAUGAAAGUGGCGAACGGGUGAGUAACACGUGAGCAACCUACCUUACACAGGGGGAUAGCCGUUGGAAACGACGAUUAAUACCGCAUGAGACCACAGAAUCGCAUGAUAUAGGGGUCAAAUAUUUAUCGGUGUAAGAAGGGCUCGCGUCUGAUUAGCUAGUUGGAAGGGUAAAGGCCUACCAAGGCGACGAUCAGUAGCCGGUCUGAGAGGAUGAACGGCCACAUUGGAACUGAGACACGGUCCAAACUCCUACGGGAGGCAGCAGUGGGGAAUAUUGCACAAUGGGGGGAACCCUGAUGCAGCGACGCCGCGUGAGCGAAGAAGGUUUUCGAAUCGUAAAGCUCUGUCCUAUGAGAAGAUAAUGACGGUAUCAUAGGAGGAAGCCCCGGCUAAAUACGUG